UACGGAGGGUGCAAGCGUUGUUCGGAAUUAUUGGGCGUAAAGGGCGCGUAGGUGGUUGUGAUAGUCAGAUGUGAAAUCCUUUGGCUUAACUGAAGAACUGCAUCUGAAACUUCACAACUCGAGUACAGGAGAGGGAAACGGAAUUCCCGGUGUAGAGGUGAAAUUCGUAGAUAUCGGGAGGAACACCAGUGGCGAAGGCGGUUUCCUGGCCUGAUACUGACACUGAGGCGCGAAAGCGUGGGGAGCAAACAGG
rnacentral:rRNA from 2 species